CAGUAGCCACGGGAACACAGAGGGUGCGAGCGUUAAUCGGAUUUACUGGGCGUAAAGCGUGCGUAGGCGGCUUCUUAAGUCGGAUGUGAAAUCCCUGAGCUUAACUUAGGAAUUGCAUUCGAUACUGGGAAGCUAGAGUAUGGGAGAGGAUGGUAGAAUUCCAGGUGUAGCGGUGAAAUGCGUAGAGAUCUGGAGGAAUACCGAUGGCGAAGGCAGCCAUCUGGCCUAAUACUGACGCUGAGGUACGAAAGCAUGGGGAGCAAACAGGAUUAGAUACCCCCGUAGUCCCUGUCUCUUAUAU
rnacentral:rRNA from 1 species